rnacentral:rRNA from 1 species
GGUAAAUUCUGCCCUAUGGUUUUUCUAAAUGGCUGCAGUAUUUUGACUGUGCAAAGGUAGCAUAGUAAUUAGUUUCUUAAUUAGAAGCUGGAAUGAAUGGAUUAAUGAGAAAGAUAUUUUAUUAAUUUCAUUGUUAUAAAUUAAAAUUUAAGUGAAAAUGCUUAAUUAUUUUCUAGGGACGAUAAGACCCUAUAGAACUUUAUAUUAUAAUAUUUAAUCUAUUUUUAUUAAGAAUAUUGAAUUAAAUAAUAGUAAUAAUUUGCUGGGGUGGUAGAUAAAUUUUAACUUUAUUUUUAAAUUUCAAUAAUUUAUGUAAAUUUUGAUCCUUAUGGAAAUUAAGAUUAAGUUACCUUAGGGAUAACAGCGUAAUUUAAGUGGAGAGUUCAUAUCUAUACUUUAUUUUGCGACCUCGAUGUUGAAUUAAGGAAAGGUUGGGAAGAAGAGUUCUCAAAUCUAAGUCUGUUCGACUU